rnacentral:lncRNA from 1 species
AGAGUAUUUUUCAUACUUUGCAUUGAUAGAGCUGCCAGGCCCUGUUUCAGUCAUGGUAGGAGGCUGAAAUGAGUGCCUUGAUCUUUGGAGAUCCACAGGGCCGCUCCUGGAAGCAAUUUUGGGUGUGUGUCACCCCGAGGCCACCGUCUCCCGCUGGUCGUGGGUCCCAGCCUUUCCCGUGACAGCCCCGGCAUCCCCGUGGUGGAUUUCGGGCACGGAAGCCAUUCCCACAAUUAAGGUGUGCUGAGAGGAUUAAUCUGCUUUUUGUAAUCUUGUCAGAAACGUGAUACUAUAAUCUAGCUGUUGACUGAAAUCUAAUUCCAUUUAACUUUCCCUGCGCCGGUGAGGUGCUGUCUCGUCUCCUGUUCGCCUUGCUCUUUGUAUCUGCUCUGUGAUCAGAGAUGACGGCAUAAUUGAUUCCUAAGCCAUUCUCGGGGCCCUGAAAUUGCUCCUGUUGUUGGCUGCUGGAGACUGUUAUAGGCUGGGGGAGAGGGGAAACUAGUCAGGAUUCUUCUGUCCUCUGUCCUGUUCCGGAGGAGGUGACCUCUGCUGCUGACUGGGGCUCGCGGUGGGGACCUGGUGACCAGGUCCCCGCCCCAGGGUCAGCGGGGGAAGCACCUGAGCCCUCCCCUUCCAGCUCGGAAUGUGCCUGGGAAGCGUACUGUUCUGACAUGGUUGGUCGCUCAAGAGUGGGUCUUCUGCAUUUCCUCUAGAACAAGUUGGGGCUUCAGAAGAGAACGUGUGGAAGAGAACUGCUGUUGACUUUGAUCCCUUUUGGUGGCUGAGUGCUAAUAACAUCAUGGACCAAGCUGGCUUAGAUGUCUCCCAGCUGGUGCUGGCAGCUAAAUGCCGACGGAAACCCAUCAAAUAUUCAUCCUUCUCUGGCGCCCGGCCCACGUCGGGGCAGGGUGCACCUGAAGGCAUGGCCAGCGUCCCCUGGCCUGGCUCCUUGCCUCCUGCUCAGCUCUUCUCUCCUGGGCCUCGUUUGCAGGGCGCUCUGUGGACUCGGGCGUGCUGGGUGUAAGCUCAGGCGGCUGAGUGUCAGGCGGGCAUGCAGCUUGGCCUCGGCCCCCUUUUGCCUGUGGGUCCAUGUCCAGGAGCUCGGCACAGGCCGGGUGAGUUUUAGAGAAAAGGGUGUUUGGCUUAUGGCUCUGAGUUCCAAGUUCCAGGGUGGGGCCACGUCUGGUGACAGCCUGGCUGGCCAAGACCCGAGGUGGCACAGGACACGGCGCGUCGAGAGACGAGGAAGGCACACGUGUGUGUGA